rnacentral:rRNA from 1 species
AACGAACGCUGGCGGCAUGCCUAACACAUGCAAGUCGAACGAGACCUUCGGGUCUAGUGGCGCACGGGUGCGUAACGCGUGGGAACCUGCCCUUAGGUUCGGAAUAACUCCCCGAAAGGGGUGCUAAUACCGUAUAAUGUCUUCGGACCAAAGAUUUAUCGCCUUUGGAUGUGCCCGCGUUGGAUUAGCUAGUUGGUAGGGUAAAAGCCUACCAAGGCGACGAUCCAUAGCUGGUCUGAGAGGAUGAUCAACCACACUGGGACUGAGACACGGCCCAGACUCCUACGGGAGGCAGCAGUGGGGAAUAUUGGACAAUGGGCGAAAGCCUGAUCCAGCAAUGCCGCGUGAGUGAUGAAGGCCUUAGGGUUGUAAAGCUCUUUUACCCGGGAUGAUAAUGACAGUACCGGGAGAAUAAGCUCCGGCUAACUCCGUG